CAGCUCCGGUGCUGUCGUUGGUGACAGAGAAAAUGCUGUGGUACGAGCCCGGGCCCCGGACGUGGGACGAGGCGCGGCAGUUCUGCAGGAGUGAGUAUGGAGGAGAGCUGGCCACAAGAGAGACUUCUUCUGACAUUGCUGACUUAAAG
rnacentral:lncRNA from 1 species